CAAGGGCAUAUGUGAAAUUUCAUUUGUAAAUGGGUAGUUUGCGUCUGAAUAUUCAUUGAUGUUAACACCUUGUAGUAUUGGUCCUAU